GGUGAGCGCUGGCGGUAGGCCUAACACAUGCAAGUCGAACGGCAGCACAGUAAGAGCUUGCUCUUACGGGUGGCGAGUGGCGGACGGGUGAGGAAUACAUAGGAAUCUACUUUUUCGUGGGGGAUAACGUAGGGAAACUUACGCUAAUACCGCAUACGACCUACGGGUGAAAGCAGGGGAUCUUCGGACCUUGCGCGAUUCAAUGAGCCGAUGUCGGAUUAGCUAGUUGGCGAGGUAAGGGCCCACCAAGGCGACGAUCCGUAGCUGGUCUGAGAGGAUGAUCGGCCACACUGGAACUGAGACACGGUCCAGACUCCUACGGGAGGCAGCAGUGGGGAAUAUUGCACAAUGGGCGCAAGCCUGAUCCAGCCAUACCGCGUGGGUGAAGAAGGCCUUCGGGUUGUAAAGCCCUGUUGUUGGGAAAGAAAAGCAGCAGGUGAAUACCCCGCUGUUUUGACGGUACCCAAAGAAUAAGCACCGGCUAACUUCGUG
rnacentral:rRNA from 1 species